rnacentral:rRNA from 1 species
UACGGAGGGUGCAAGCGUUGUCCGGAUUUAUUGGGUUUAAAGGGUGCGUAGGCUGCCCUGUAAGUCAGUGGUGAAAGCCUCCAGCUCAACUGGAGAACUGCCAUUGAUACUGCAGGGCUUGAGUACAGACGAGGUUGGCGGAAUUGAUAGUGUAGCGGUGAAAUGCAUAGAUACUAUCAAGAACUCCGAUUGCGUAGGCAGCUAACUAGGCUGUAACUGACGCUGAGGCACGAAAGCGUGGGGAGCGAACAGG